GAAACUUUUCCAGCUUGAAGGAAAUGAUCAGCUGAUUGAUAGACACCGUUCCAAACGAUCUGAUCCUCUUAUGCUCCACAGUUCUGGCAGCUGCAUGACCCACAAUCCAAGAUGCAGUCAUGGAGACAGUUGCAUAACCAGGGCUGACCUGAGACCAUGUGAGGGGAGCUUACUCCGGCUGACCUGCAGUAAACUCCUCUCACUUCCAUUUUCACCUCCUUUCCUGAAGCAGGUGUCCAGUUCCUGGAGCAGAGUUCCUCAGGCAGCAGAGCUGCUCAGCCUAGUUCUGAUCGUGAUGAACCGGACCCUGAAGAGUCUGAUCAGUGUUCAGAGUAAACACUGUCAGUUCAGAGGAUGAGAUCCAAACUGUUAUGCUAUCCUGCUAUUUUAUUAAAAACAUCUGAUAACAAAACUA